UGUCACACCACCAAGCUUCUUAAGGGUCCCAGGCAUCCAACAAUGGUCAUGUGUCCAUGAGGCUUUGAAUAUGCACCCGGAGCCCGGAGCCCGGCGGGAGGGCGCGAGCGGCCCGAGUUUCGCUCCGCGUGGGGAGAAGGGCGGCGAGGACAAGAGCUGCUUCCCCUUCGGAAAGCCGGCCACCCCGAGCGGGAAGCCGCUGACCCGGGGGCAGAU